ACUCAAAGGAAUUGACGGGGACCCGCACAAGCGGUGGAGUAUGUUGUUUAAUUCGAUGCUACGCGAGAAACCUUACCGACCCUUGACAUGUCAGACGCGAUUUCCAGAGAUGGAUUUCUUCAAUUCGGUUGGUCUGAACACAGAUGCUGCAUGGCUGUCGUCAGCUCGUGUCGUGAGAUGUUAGGUUAAGUCCUGCAACGAGCGCAACCCACGCCCUUUGUUGCCAGCGGGUCAUGCCGGGAACUCUAAGGGGACUGCCCGCGUCAAGCGGGAGGAAGGCGUGGAUGAUGUCAAGUCAUCAUGGUUCUUACGGGUCGGGCUACAAACGUACUACAAUGGCGAUAACAGCGCGUCGCAAAGCCGCAAGGCCCAGCCAAUCGUUAAAAAUCGCCCCAGUUCAGAUUGUCCUCUGCAACUCGAGGACAUGAAGUCGGAAUCGCUAGUAAUCGCGGAUCAGAACGCCGCGGUGAAUACGUUCCCGGGUCUUGUACACACCGCCCGU
rnacentral:rRNA from 1 species